UCCUUAGGAGUUGUACUGUGAGUCUCCCAAAACCUGGAGGCAUUUAAAGCCUCAGGAAUCGUGUGGUUAUGUGAAAAUCUUGUCUCUUUCCUCCUUUAGAGAAAAAAUAUUUUCCUGUUCUUGUGGCUAAGAUAAAGCUCAAAAAUAUGAACUGGAGCAAUGUGAAACCCAGAAACAGCAGCUUUUCUGGAUGCUUUUUAGGUGCUGCCUCAGGCGGGGGAGACCCAAGCUGUGAUUUCCUAAUGGUCAAGAUUAAAGUCCUGCUUCUACCCAGGUUGAGGAGUCAGGACCAAGCCUCUGCCCCAGCCCAAGGAUGUGCUCGGCUGAAGCGACUGAGCUCGACUAAGCCGAAGGGCUGGGAGAGAAGAGCUGAAUGGCAAAGCUCAGAAAGAGCCUUAAGAAAGCAGAGCCGAGAGCAAACACUCUGUGCACAUCGAGCGAGCCCCCCCUGCAUGUUUACAGAAUAAGUUACCAAAUAACCAGUGUCUGGGGGAUAUCUGGUGAGCCCUUGAAACGAAUGCUGGUGUUUUGAUCAGCGCCAUCGAUCUGCAGCCGCCGCGCGGUGCUUACGUGGAUUUGGAGGUUGAAAGGCGCUCGGUCGCAGUUCACAGUUUGUUCACAGACAAAUCCUGCUGGUGGGGUUCUUUGUGGGCCUUUCUUCUCGGGAAGAGCCUGCUCAGCACGUCCAGGAGAAAACUUCACAAAAGUACCCAGGGAAAUGCCUGGUUUUCCCUCUAUCUAUGGAGAGACAUGCACUUGGUGAGAGCACCAGCUGCUUUGUGCUGCUGCAGGAGGUCUUUUGGUCUGUGAAGGGGAAUGAGAUGCUGCAAAGCAUGGGCAUGGACAUCGGCACCAGUACCAGCACCGGCACCAGCACCGUGUCCUGCUGGGCUUUCUUGAAGGGUUGAUUUGAAAGGGCAAAGUUGGGCUGUGUUUGACUUUGGGCAGAGACUCAGCACAGGGGGAUGUGUGUGUGAGAGCGGAGGUGAAGGUGGAUGUGUGGAAUCUUGGAAAGUGAUACGUGAGAAAUGAGUGUCAUGAUCAAGUGCUGCAUAUUGGAUGGAUUAUUAAGGUUCAAAAUUAAAACGUAUACAAUAUUGCCAAUGCCAAGAGCUCUCUAAUCAUAAAUCAGUUCCCCUGACCCCUUCAUAAUCAUGAGAUUGCCCUAAAGAGCAGGAGAUUUUACAUAAUAAUAAAUGUGAAAGGGGUGGGUUUUAA